rnacentral:lncRNA from 1 species
CACAGAAGACGAAGAGCUGGAAUAGAGCUCGCCUCGGCUCUGCUGGCCUUGGCUGCAGCUCUUCCAGAAACCCGGGGCGCCCACAGAAGAAUCUCUUACCUGGCUCUCUCUUCAGGGAUGACAUCAUCGGCUCACACCAGUCUUCCAGGACCACCUUCUGGAUGCCAAGGCUGCUGCUCGAGUACCUGCUGUGCACCUCUACCUCCUGAGCCAAGGAGCACGGAUUCCAGGAACCCACUACCAUACAGAGCAACUCCUUGUGGACCCCCCUGGGAUCAGGACAGCGAGGGACAAGCGACAAAGAGGAUCAUCAGUGGCCAGCUAGUUUCUCUGGGGUUCAAACCUUGAACCAGUGCCCUAGUGAGGGGGCACUGGCCAUGGCCCUUGACCUUUGCUCUGCUUGUGUCUUGAGUCUGAGCCCUUUCCUGUACAUCUGUGCUCGUGUUCAUCUGCUAGUGAACUGGAGUGCUGCCCUCCCCGAGGAGGGUCGUCCCUUGUGACUGAUCAUGCUGUCCUAACAAUGUCCUGAGCAAAAGGGUCCCUUUGGGAACCUCUCAGGAGGGGGACCCGGGUCAGGGGCGACCAGCAUCUUGCUGGCAACUCCGUGGGUGGGGUGGGGUGGGGUGCUUCCUUCUGGAAUGAGCACGUGGCUGACCCCCCAAGGCAUGUCCCCUCCCCCUCCUCCACCCACCUUCUCGGAGAUGUCCCUUUUGGGGUAGUGGGGACAUUAGGAGCAACCUCCUAGGGUUGUUGUGAGAAUUAAAUGAACUGCAGCAGCCUGAGGCAGGGCUGGGCAGAGACCUCAGCACAUGUUUGUUGAAAGGUUUGCAGGUGGAUCUAGUCCUCCCGUUCAUGGCUCAUGUGUCUCAACCAUUCUCUCGCAGACUCCUGCAGCCCCUAUGCCCAGGGCUCUCCUUGCGCCAGAGGUAGGUGGGAAAGAGAACUGGGAGAGCCCGGACUCACUCAUGAGAUUGAACUUAAAUUCACACGGAGGACACUUGGACUCUUGCCACAUUAGCCCCGGCUUCUCGAGGCCUGUCUACACUCGCUGCUUUCCUUCCUCACCUCCAAUUUCCCCUCCAACCCACUGCUUCCUGACUCGCUCUUCUCCAUCGAACGGCUCUCGCUCAGGUUUAAGGCUUGGCUUGCUGGCCCUGGAGAUCCCGUCGCCGUCUUCGUCGAACUCGAAAUCCUAGCCAUCGUCCUUCCCUGGCCUGUCGCGUCUUCCUGUGCCAUUUGCUGUUGUGCUCAGGUUCCACGAGCUGCCCAUCUCCACAGAAGAGCAGCUGGCAUUGCCCACCGGCCAUGCCGGCUGAAGAAAAGAAGACUGAGGACCCCAGGAUGCCCAGCGCGAGGACCCCAGGAAGCCCAGCGCGAGGACUCCACCCACGACGCCCAGCGCGAGGACUUCACGCACAACACGUUGCAACCCUCCUGGAUUAGGCCAAAGCCAUCAUCUGGAAUCCUGCGUGGGACCCUGGACACACGGACACAGACACCUGCCCCCAGGACCCUCCAACUGUAAAUCCCUCUACAGCCACGGGGACGCCUUGCACAUUUCCUGUGGGACAUGCUGGACCCAAGACUCUGGACCCUGGCCUCCCCUUGAGUAGAGAGACCCACCUACUGACUGAUGAACUGCGCUGACCCUGGGGUCAGGCAUGUGGCCUUGAUCCCUACCCAUGGACCCUGAGACUUGGGGGGGUGGGAGAAAGGCUGUUGUGUCUUCACUGUUGAGUCUACAUCUGUGAAAUGGGCUCAGGUUCCUACCUCACAGGGCUGUUGUGAGGCAGCCGCAAUGUGCUUAGAAGCAUGGGGCCUAGUGGCUCAUGGUGCUUUCAAUAAAUUUCUUGUUUUAACUAAAGCA